GAUGAACGCUGGCGGCGUGCCUAAUACAUGCAAGUCGAGCGAACGGACGAGAAGCUUGCUUCUCUGAUGUUAGCGGCGGACGGGUGAGUAACACGUGGAUAACCUACCUAUAAGACUGGGAUAACUUCGGGAAACCGGAGCUAAUACCGGAUAAUAUUUUGAACCGCAUGGUUCAAAAGUGAAAGACGGUCUUGCUGUCACUUAUAGAUGGAUCCGCGCUGCAUUAGCUAGUUGGUAAGGUAACGGCUUACCAAGGCAACGAUGCAUAGCCGACCUGAGAGGGUGAUCGGCCACACUGGAACUGAGACACGGUCCAGACUCCUACGGGAGGCAGCAGUAGGGAAUCUUCCGCAAUGGGCGAAAGCCUGACGGAGCAACGCCGCGUGAGUGAUGAAGGUCUUCGGAUCGUAAAACUCUGUUAUUAGGGAAGAACAUAUGUGUAAGUAACUGUGCACAUCUUGACGGUACCUAAUCAGAAAGCCACGGCUAACUACGUGCCAGCAGCCGCGGUAAUACGUAGGUGGCAAGCGUUAUCCGGAAUUAUUGGGCGUAAAGCGCGCGUAGGCGGUUUUUUAAGUCUGAUGUGAAAGCCCACGGCUCAACCGUGGAGGGUCAUUGGAAACUGGAAAACUUGAGUGCAGAAGAGGAAAGUGGAAUUCCAUGUGUAGCGGUGAAAUGCGCAGAGAUAUGGAGGAACACCAGUGGCGAAGGCGACUUUCUGGUCUGUAACUGACGCUGAUGUGCGAAAGCGUGGGGAUCAAACAGGAUUAGAUACCCUGGUAGUCCACGCCGUAAACGAUGAGUGCUAAGUGUUAGGGGGUUUCCGCCCCUUAGUGCUGCAGCUAACGCAUUAAGCACUCCGCCUGGGGAGUACGACCGCAAGGUUGAAACUCAAAGGAAUUGACGGGGACCCGCACAAGCGGUGGAGCAUGUGGUUUAAUUCGAAGCAACGCGAAGAACCUUACCAAAUCUUGACAUCCUUUGACAACUCUAGAGAUAGAGCUUUCCCCUUCGGGGGACAAAGUGACAGGUGGUGCAUGGUUGUCGUCAGCUCGUGUCGUGAGAUGUUGGGUUAAGUCCCGCAACGAGCGCAACCCUUAAGCUUAGUUGCCAUCAUUAAGUUGGGCACUCUAAGUUGACUGCCGGUGACAAACCGGAGGAAGGUGGGGAUGACGUCAAAUCAUCAUGCCCCUUAUGAUUUGGGCUACACACGUGAUACAAUGGACAAUACAAAGGGCAGCGAAACCGCGAGGUCAAGCAAAUCCCAUAAAGUUGUUCUCAGUUCGGAUUGUAGUCUGCAACUCGACUACAUGAAGCUGGAAUCGCUAGUAAUCGUAGAUCAGCAUGCUACGGUGAAUACGUUCCCGGGUCU
rnacentral:rRNA from 1 species